GUUUGCAGGACAAGGCCCAGUUCACUGAGCCACACCCAUCAUGUUCUCUUAAAAGGCAGACACAUAGUCUUGUUCAAAGAGCCUUCCUUACCAGUGAAGUUAGUGAAUUAAUACCAUCUACUCACUACAUGUUGAUUGUGAUUUAUAGCUCUCUCAAGCACAUAGUUUCAUUUUAUACUUACAAUAAGUUUUAAAGUAUUACACAGUAGAUAUUGUUUCCACAUACUAGUAAGAAAAUUGAAUAUUAAAGCCAAGAAAUAAGUAAGAGUUUUAGUUUAAAUAUUUGCUUUGUUUUGUUUAUAGCUUAAUGUCUUUCUAGUAUAUCAUAGACUUCAUUAUAUAAACACUAUAUUCAAUCCCACACGUGUGUGUGCAUGUGUGUGUAGAAAGAAAAAUUAUCCCUCUGUAUUUACAUGACUCUGUUUGAACAUUCACAAAGGAUCAGUACAUUACAAACCAAAAGACCCCUUAGUCUUUAUAUCUUUCAUUGUGACUUUAACCUCAUCAUGACAAAUUACGGCUUGACAGAUGAUCCAACAAAGGUAUUAAAAAACAUGCUAGGUAGGUGCUUUAGGAUAACGAUUUAUAAAACAAGCACUGAGGUCAAGUACUAUGAGCAGAACAUUCCAACAGUCAUAAUAUAACAGUUCUAAUAGAGCAGAUCCUUCGUGAAUUUUAGGGGAGGUAACCAUAAAUUUAUUUUAAUAAUGUCUGUCAGUCAAUAUAAUUUAUUUUUAUUUUAUGCAAAAGACAAUAUAAAUAAAAACUUGUGAAUAUUAGAGCCAAAUAAAGAAGGAACUAGGUAAUGUUGUCCUUAUACUUCUGUAUUGAAUAUAAACCAGAUUUUAGUUUUCAUCCUACAUGAGAGGGACGGGAAAAGAAUAAUAUUAGCCAAAUACACUGACUCAUUUUUCAGAAACAGCAAGAUUUAAGAGCAGAGAUAGGGAAAUAAAUGAAAGGAAGGAAAUUCAGGCAUUUUUUAGGACUUAAUAAGAAGAAAGCAAAUGACUAGAUAAUGGGUUUUAUGGGCUAAAACCAUGCUUUCCUAUAUAGAACAAUAUCUUUCAGGCAGCCUUCUGUGGGCACAUUGUUCUAAUGCUUCUGUAGCGGCUGCCGCAGUUUUGUUCUGGUUCGUUCACAUUUAGUCGCUCAGUCACCAUUUGUGUGCAUGGCCCUAAUUUAUAAGCAAAUGACCUUCUGACCAACUGUGUGUGUACACAUCUCUCUUCUCCUCUGAACAUUUGAAGCAAAGUUUGGUAAAUAGUGCAAGAUUCAGGAGGGAAGACAUAAAUCAAAACUAAAAUCUUGAUUUCAAUGCCUUGAACUCUUGCUAUACAUUUUGUCAUUCUUGGGCCUUGGUCAAAUGGUUAAUGAGACCCAAACUAUUUGAAAUGCAUGUCUCUAAAAUCUAAGCGGGAUGCAGCCGCAGUUGAGUAAAGAACUAUUAAAAUGAUGAAAUCAUUAUAUUGCAUCCAAGGAUAAAAGACAUUGUAAAUAUUUAGUCUUUCACAGUCACAAACCACUUAAACGGAUGAACAUAGUCUAUGCAUUGGUUUAUGGGUCUAAUAGCCUCCAGGAAAUGUCAAGGUCAUAUACUCUCCCAGAACACAAGAUUUUGCUUUUGAAUUUUUAAUUUAACUAAAAGAUGUGUAAAAGCACACAGUCGCUGAGCUCCCUAUUGGCUCCACAUCUGUGUAGGAUUAUAUGCAAACAAUAUUUGAGCUAGCUUUGGCAGUCACAUAGACUCACUAGCUUGAGUGUAAUUAAUUUUUUUUGAAGGAGAGACAAGAAUUAAAGGAAGACAAUUUGGAGAAGCACUGUUUUCAGCAAUAAUCUUACUCAUGAGAUUUUGGUGGACAACAUACCUACUGCUCAAGGAACUUUCUAAAAAUUACCUCUGCUGAUUUGGCUGCAUUAACGAAGUUAGUAAACAACGGCAUGACUUACUUCUUGGUGACCUUUUCAGUUUGCAAAGGUUGCACAAAGUAUUUUUUUAAAUACAUUGUAAUAUGGUAGGACAGAGGCAGAGCAAAUUCCCACAAUUUGUCAAAUGCUGCCUUAUAAUUACAACACAAUCUUGAGAUAUCCUGAUUCCUGGAAUGCAAAAAAA